AGGGGAAUAUUAUACAAUGGGCGCAAGCAUGAUCCAGCCAUGCCUCGUGAGUGAUUAAGGCCCUAGGGUUGUAAAGCUCUUUCACCGGUGAAGAUAAUGACGGUAACCGGAGAAGAAGCCCCGGCUAACUUCGUGCCAGCAGCCGCGGUAAUACGAAGGGGGCUAGCGUUGUUCGGAUUUACUGGGCGUAAAGCGCACGUAGGCGGACUUUUAAGUCAGUGGUGAAAUCCCGGGGCUCAACCCCGGAACUGCCUUUGAUACUGGAAGUCUUGAGUAUGGUAGAGGUGGGUGGAAUUCCGAGUGUAGAGGUGACCUUCGUAGAUAUUCGGAGGAACACCAGUGGAGAAGGCGGCUCACUGGACCAAUACUGACGCUGAGGUGCGAAAGCGGGGGGAGCAAACAGG
rnacentral:rRNA from 1 species